UACGUAGGGUGCAAGCGUUGUCCGGAAUUAUUGGGCGUAAAGAGCUCGUAGGCGGUUUGUCGCGUCUGCUGUGAAAACUCGGGGCUUAACUCCGGGCCUGCAGUGGGUACGGGCAGACUAGAGUGCGGUAGGGGAGACUGGAAUUUCCGGUGUAGCGGUGAAAUGCGUAGAUAUCGGAAGGAACACCAGUGGCGAAAGCGGCUUCCUGGUCCAGCACCGACGUUCAGGCACGAAAGCGUGGGGAGCAAACAGG
rnacentral:rRNA from 1 species